CACUAUUCAUCAUGUGAGAGAGGCGACUGUUCACCAGCAGUGAACUCCCUAAGCUGCCUUCCCAUUCCUUCCUUGCCGGGUCUUUUUUCCCUCUCUGCUGCAAGAAAAUGACCUCCUUUCCCAAAUCUCCUUCAGUUUCCAAAAUCUCCUUUAACUUCCUUUUCUCAACCUUUGGUUUCCGAUCUUCUCAUCUUUCUCAUUUUUCUCAGCCAAAUCAUCUGUGCAAAUUUCUUGUGUUUAAAACCUUUGGAAAAAUAAAUAGUUAUUGCAUCUUACGUUUAAAAUCCCUGGGUCAGUACUGAUUUUGUUGGUUUUUCGAUUUUAUCAGGGUGGAUUUGUUACCUCCAAGGUUCACCUUUGUUUGGUGGGCACUUUGCUCUUCGUCUUUUGGGGCUUCUAUGUGCAGCUUCGAAGUCGUUUAUGGUCAAGGAUCUACAGUUGCAAUGCCUUUGAUGGAUAAAACAGAGAGGACCCAGCUACUCUUAUAGAGCUUCUUUAGCAUUGUAAUGUUAUUCAGAGUGGUUCAAAGAAUUUCAAGAGCUUCAUUCAUCCAAUUUAUGCUCUUCAUGUAAAAAUUCUUUCAAUAAGUUCAAACGUCUUUCAGUGUUGAUAACAUUAACAUUCUGUAACAAUUUAUUAUAAGCUUUGAAAUAUUUUUUCAUAC